rnacentral:lncRNA from 1 species
GGGAGAGAAAUGAAUGAGAAACUAAAUUGAUUACUCCUGAGAUGGCUGGUGCCAAUGGCUUGCUCUGGGUAUAAAGAAGAGAUUUCACCACAAGCUUCUCCCCAGAGGUGGAAGGGGCAGAUCAGGUUGCUUUUCACUCCUGCCCCGCCCUGAGGAAUGGACUCAGUGACACUGCAGGCCUUUCUCUCCCCUGAUAUCUUUGAGUCAAGGCGCCGUGUUGACCAAGUGUGUCAGAUAAAGGACUACAAAAGUAUUGUCCAAAUUGCCCAGGGAGGAUGUGGCCAACAUUCCUAGGUGUGUUUGCAAAAAUGGCUGAGAGACUAGGUGCAAAGUGAGGGAUGCUGGCAAAGCACGCCUGUAUUUGGAGACCAGUGGUUCUCUCCGGCCACAGGUACUUCUGAUGAAUCUCUUCCAACAGAGUAAUACACACACCUUCAAACUUAACUGCAGAGGAAGAAUCCUACGCUCAAAACCGCACAGAAUGAGUCCUAUCCAGAGAUUCAAAAACAAAAACCUAUCAGGAAACUUUGGAAGCCCUCGUCUGUUUCAGUUUGUAGGAGUGACUGCCUUUCAGGGGAAAGAAUCUGAUGGGAAGGAUGAGAAACAAAAUAUGCUGAAAUUCAAGAACCCGACCUGAAUAACUGCCUGUGUGACUCGUCAAAGCUGAGCCCCCUCCACAGAGUGAGCCGGGCCCGUCACGUGGUGCCCUGCAGCCUGGGUGGAGCAUCCUGACCCCUUCACUGGAAAAAUGCGGGAAGGGCCUGUCCCCUCUCAGCUCCCCUGACUGCGCUCUGGGUCUUUCCGACUCUGUAAAAGACAAUCAAAUAAAAAUGCUAUUUUCCCAUAAUCA